GAUCCUGGCUCAGGACGAACGCUGGCGGCGUGCUUAACACAUGCAAGUCGAACGGAGUGCUCAUGACAGAGGUUUCGGCCAAUGGAUUGAGUUACUUAGUGGCGGACUGGUGAGUAACGCGUGAGGAACCUGCCUUUCAGAGGGGGACAACAGUUGGAAACGACUGCUAAUACCGCAUGACACAUCGAAGGGGCAUCCCUUUGAUGUCAAAGAUUUUAUCGCUGAAAGAUGG
rnacentral:rRNA from 1 species